GAUGAACGCUGGCGGCGUGCCUAAUACAUGCAAGUCGAGCGAACAGAUGAUGAGCUUGCGCCUCUGACGUUAGCGGCGGGCGGGAGAGUAACGCGUGUAUAACCUACCUAUAAUACGGGGAUAAUUUCGGAAAACCGGAUCUAAUACCAUAGAAUAUAUUGAACCGCAGUGGUCAAUGGUUAAUUACGGUUUUGCUGUCAGGUAUAGCUGGAUCCAGGCCUGUUUGGCUGGUUGGUAAGGUAACGGCUUACCAAGGCAACGAGGCGUAUCCGAAGUGAGAGAGUGAUCGGCCACACGGGAACGUGAACACGCUCCAGACUCCUACGGGAGGCAGCAGUAGGGAAUGUUACGCAAUGGGCGAAAGCCUGACGGAGCAAGGCCGCGUGAGUGAUGAAGGUCUUCGGAUCGUAAAACCCUGUUAUUAGGGAAGAACAAAUGUGUAAGUAAAUAUGCCCGUAUUGACGGUACCUAAUAAGAAAGCACCGGCUAACUACGUG
rnacentral:rRNA from 1 species